GGAGAGGUGGCCGAGCGGUUUAAGGCGGCCGUCUUGAAAACGGCUGGGCGCAAGCCCCGCGAGUUCGAAUCUCGCCCUCUCCGCCA
rnacentral:tRNA from 1 species